rnacentral:rRNA from 1 species
GACGUAGGGCGCGAGCGUUGUCCGGAUUUAUUGGGCGUAAAGAGCUCGUAGGCGGCUCGUUGCGUCGGCUGUGAAAACCCGCAGCUCAACUGUGGGCUUGCAGCUGAUACGGGCGGGCUGGAGUUCGGUAGGGGAGACUGGAACUCCUGGUGUAGCGGUGGAAUGCGCAGAUAUCAGGAAGAACACCGGUGGCGAAGGCGGCUCUCUGGGCCUUACCUGACGCUGAGGAGCGAAAGCGUGGGGAGCGAACGGG